UACGAAGGGGGCUAGCGUUGUUCGGAAUCACUGGGCGUAAAGCGCACGCAGGCGGAUUGAUAAGUCAGGGGUGAAAUCCCGGAGCUCAACUUCGGAAUUGCCUUUGAUACUGUCUGUCUUGAGUCCGGGAGAGGUGAGUGGAAUUCCUAGUGUAGAGGUGAAAUUCGUAGAUAUUAGGAAGAACACCAGUGGCGAAGGCGGCUCACUGGCCGGCUACUGACGCUCAUGUGCGAAAGCGUGGGGAGCAAACAGG
rnacentral:rRNA from 1 species